AUUGAACGCUGGCGGCAUGCCUUACACAUGCAAAUCGAACGGUAACGGGCCUUCGGGUGCCGACGAGUGGCGAACGGGUGCGUAAUACAUCGGAACGUGCCCGAUCGUGGGGGAUAACGAGGCGAAAGCUUUGCUAAUACCGCAUACGAUCUACGGAUGAAAGCAGGGGACCGCAAGGCCUUGCGCGGACGGAGCGGCCGAUGGCAGAUUAGGUAGUUGGUGGGAUAAAAGCUUACCAAGCCGACGAUCUGUAGCUGGUCUGAGAGGAGGAACAGCCACACUGGGACUGGGACACGGCCCAGACUCCUACGGGAGGCAGCAGUGGGGAAUUUUGGACAAUGGGCGCAAGCCUGAUCCAGCCAUGCCGCGUGCAGGAUGAAGGCCUUCGGGUUGUAAACUGAUUUUGUACGGAACGAAAAGCCUUCUUUUAAUACAGGAGGGUCAUGACGGUACCGUAAGAAUAAGCACCGGCUAACUACGUG
rnacentral:rRNA from 1 species